AAGUCGUAACAAGGUCAUCGUAGGUGAACCUGCGGUGGGAUCAUUAUAAGAUUCUAGGGGAGUACUCGCUUACUGUGUAACAGGGCGGGUGCUACUCCUUAUACCACAUCGUGCGGACUCUAUUGAAUAAUAUGGACGUGCCUCUGAAUCUGUAGAGGAGGGGGCACGUCUUUGCUUGUAAAGCAGCGGCUGAAAUAUAGCACUACAGGGGCUCUAUUAUGAUGACGACACAAUAGUUACAACUAUACAUGGUGGAUCACUUGGCUCUC
rnacentral:misc_RNA from 1 species